rnacentral:lncRNA from 1 species
GGCGACUGAAAAAAGUCAACGGCAUAGUGAAAGAAAAGCCAUCUCUUUUCUCUUUUUCUCUCCAUGAUGGUUGCCAUAUGAUCGGUGCAAACCACUAAACAUGUAAACGAGUGGUAAGUAGAAGGAGAUGGGGGGAGCACUGAGACUGCACAGUAACCCUCUCCUCCUGGUCAAAGCUUGGGCAUUAAUGAUGGGUUGGUGAAGACAGAGGGAACAAUCCACACACUACCUCCAUUAGGAACCCGAAAAAGGAAGGCAGCGGCUGUUGGCAUUCCAUUUGUGGAAUAUGCGGCUGUUUCCAUUAAAUUGUCUGACAAAGUGGGUAAAAAGAGUUAAGAUGAAGAAAAAAAAAAAAACAAUUAACAGGAUUUAAAUAUUAUUGAAAUAGUGUGAUUUCAUCUAAUGAAUAUUUCUCUCCCUCAGUUGAUAUUUAGCCCUUCAACUUGCCUUUAUGUAUUUUACUCAAUUUAAUAUAUUUCUAAAAAAUUAAGUGUGAAUCCAUAUUAACUGCACUCAAUUUUAAACUUAAGAAAUUAGCAUCUCUCAAUCCGAUUAAAAGAGAUUAGAAGAUGGGUCAUAUAAUUAUGAGUAUAUGAAGAACCAUAAUCUAUUAUAAUUUUAUCUAUGUUAAUUAUUUUUUUAGAAAAAUAAAAUAAUCAAAUAAAAAGAUAAUUAAAAUAGGAAGUAUAAUAAUCUAUCACCAGAUGGUUCGAGAGUGUGAGAGCAAAGCAAUAAAUGGCAGGAUCACAACAGUACCCACUGGGGACCACCAUUAAUUGCUGCGCUGACCAAUAGUUAAAUGGGUUUCCCCGUUGGGGCCAUUAAUGAGAGAGAGGCUCUCUGCAGUUUAAAUCAAAUACAAGAAGCGCUCCUCCUCUUCCUCGCGCCGCCCACAUAGAGAAGACGAGGCGAGGGAGGAGAGGAGGGAAGAUUAGGGUUUACUCUUGUGGGCAGCCGGGAGCGAGAUGGAGGUAGGCGAGGGUGAUGCCCCGGCGGAGGUGGAGGCGGAGGCGGAGGCG